CCUCCGAUAGCUCAGUUGGUAGAGCGCAAGACUGUAAUCGGUUACCUUGCAGGUCAUCUUGAGGCCGCUAGUUCGAUCCUGGCUCGGAGGA